ACCACUCCCUCGUCUUCCUCCUCCUCCUCCCCGUACUCAAACUCUUGCGAUUUCUUACUCUCUUCUUAUUUAUCAUCAUUAUCAUCUUCGUUGGUCAACUGGUCAACUUAAAAUCAUCCUUUCUAUCUUUCUACAUCUACCAACAGAGGAAGCUGAUUUGAGUGAUUUUCGAGAUGAAAUAGAUAAGAAGAGAUGCAGAAAGUCGGGGAAAGGAGUAUUGGAGAUGGGUUUAAUGGUAAGCUGGUGUUGGUAUAAAUGGAGAAGGUAUUGGUUAUUGUUUUUGAGUUCGAGGGAGGUUGAACUCGAUUGAGUUGCAUCUCCGAUGUUGGUAAUGGAACUGAUUAUGGUGCUGCUAUGGAGCUGAGGCAAUGUGGUGGUUGAGAUGAUGAGUGGGUCAUUAUGAAGUUUUGAAUUGAACUAGAGAGUGUUGGCAAGAAGAUUGGGUACAGGUUCAGUUUCUAUUUGGUGUGAGCUACAGGUGGUGGUGCAAUGACUAAGCAGAGUGGAGUAGCUGCAGCUGUAAUGUUGGUGUGGAUUAGAGGCUGGGAUGGAUAUGAUGAUAUGGGACACGCUGGUUAGUACAUGGAAGAUAAGAGUCUGGUGCUGCUACUGAAGCUGGAUUUGGUGCUGUUGGUUUGAGAGACUGAAUGAGUUUUGAAGAUGUAGGUUUGUUCAACUGUUACUAUUGAGGGUUGUUUGAGCUGAGAGUUUGCUGCCAGUGGUAAUAAAUGAAUGUGUAUUCUUAUGUUUAAUUUGGAGGGAAAUGGAAAGCUAUAAAAGAGUACCUCCAGGUAGGUUGCACAGCAACACCACCAGCUUGUGCAUGCAAAAUGUUCGAUGUAAUUCCUGAAUCACUAGUCUCGAGUAUGAUGGGUUUAUUUAAUUUUCUAAAAAAUAUUAUGCAGGCCUCAUGUAUCAUCAACUUUGUUCUGUAAACAUAAUAGUGUAUUGGGUCCUACUUAUGUAGUUUGAAUUGAUGAUGUUUGUUGGAAAUGUAGGCCGGAGGGAUGUAUAUGAUAUUUAUGCUGCUGUUGGUAGUGGAUACUUGGAGUAACAAGAUUUUUGUAUCUAAUUUGGAUGAUGGUGUUUCAGAUGAGGAUAUUAAAGUGCUACAUUCAAUAUUUUUCUUUAUUUAUGGAAGAUCAAGGUGCAGUCACUACUAAUGAUCGUGGACUUGACUGGAGUCCAAAAGUUGUAAAUAGCAAUUCCUUAACACUCUGUGAAUGACCUUCAGUUUAUAUUUCCCCAGAGCCUAUUUAGGUUAGUCCGUCGUCCCAUGGAACGAUUUAAAUGUGCUCGUGGUGUAGCGAACCAACUUACUAGCCUAUGAGCGACAAAUGCAAAUGAGCAACAUGGGAAGUGGCAAAGUGCUCAGGCGGCAACAAUGAUGUAUCACCAUCGUUAUGCUCUGCAAGCCAUGUGAAUUGGUUUGCUGGAGCAGCUAGUCAAGGUGGCUACUGCUUGUACCUGCUAUAGCUAUUAUUGAUAUAGGCUGUUAUUGAAGUUAAUAUCAUUAGACCUGUAUUGCAUCUUCUCCGGUAAGCAUAGUUUGAGACCAAGAAAGAAGAUGUAUGGGCUAUUGCGAAUGCUUUCUGUGGCUCAGUUAAUGAGCAUAUCAGGUAUAACCUUCUGAUCCUCGUUCUUAUAUAUAUAUACCCAACUGAGGUACAAAUUAGACUCUACCCACAUCCAUUAGCAAUAGGAACAACGAAAGUGAUCCAGGUAUCAUGGUUCAGGGUGGAAGCACAAAAAUCGUUCCCAAAAACUUCGUAAAACGUUUCUCACUUGAUCCUGUGUAAUUUAUCAUGUACUUCUGUAGAUGGGGAAAAACGAUAUGCUGGUUUUUACGGAAUUGAAGAGACGACCUUG